rnacentral:rRNA from 1 species
GGGUUGUGAGGUUAAGCGACUAAGCGUACACGGUGGAUGCCCUGGCAGUCAGAGGCGAUGAAGGACGUGCUAAUCUGCGAAAAGCGUCGGUAAGGUGAUAUGAACCGUUAUAACCGGCGAUGUCCGAAUGGGGAAACCCAGUGCAAUUCGUUGCACUAUCGUUAACUGAAUACAUAGGUUAACGAGGCGAACCGGGGGAACUGAAACAUCUAAGUACCCCGAGGAAAAGAAAUCAACCGAGAUUCCCCCAGUAGCGGCGAGCGAACGGGGAGCAGCCCAGAGUCUGAAUCAGCUUGUGUGUUAGUGGAACGGUCUGGAAAGUCCGACGGUACAGGGUGAUAGUCCCGUACACCAAAAUGCACAGGUUGUGAACUCGAAGAGUAGGGCGGGACACGUGGUAUCCUGUCUGAAUAUGGGGGGACCAUCCUCCAAGGCUAAAUACUCCUGACUGACCGAUAGUGAACCAGUACCGUGAGGGAAAGGCGAAAAGAACCCCGGCGAGGGGAGUGAAAAAGAACCUGAAACCGUGUACGUACAAGCAGUGGGAGCACCUUCGGGUGUGACUGCGUACCUUUUGUAUAAUGGGUCAGCGACUUAUAUUCUGUAGCAAGGUUAACCGUAUAGGGGAGCCGCAGGGAAACCGAGUCUUAACUGGGCGUUAAGUUGCAGGGUAUAGACCCGAAACCCGGUGAUCUAGCCAUGGGCAGGUUGAAGGUUGGGUAACACUAACUGGAGGACCGAACCGACUAAUGUUGAAAAAUUAGCGGAUGACUUGUGGCUGGGGGUGAAAGGCCAAUCAAACCGGGAGAUAGCUGGUUCUCCCCGAAAGCUAUUUAGGUAGCGCCUCGUGAAUUCAUCUUCGGGGGUAGAGCACUGUUUCGGCUAGGGGGUCAUCCCGACUUACCAACCCGAUGCAAACUACGAAUACCGAAGAAUGUUAUCACGGGAGACACACGGCGGGUGCUAACGUCCGUCGUGAAGAGGGAAACAACCCAGACCGCCAGCUAAGGUCCCAAAGUCAUGGUUAAGUGGGAAACGAUGUGGGAAGGCACAGACAGCCAGGAUGUUGGCUUAGAAGCAGCCAUCAUUUAAAGAAAGCGUAAUAGCUCACUGGUCGAGUCGGCCUGCGCGGAAGAUGUAACGGGGCUAAACCAUGCACCGAAGCUGCGGCAGCGACACUAUGUGUUGUUGGGUAGGGGAGCGUUCUGUAAGCCUGCGAAGGUGACCUGUGAGGGUUGCUGGAGGUAUCAGAAGUGCGAAUGCUGACAUAAGUAACGAUAAAGCGGGUGAAAAGCCCGCUCGCCGGAAGACCAAGGGUUCCUGUCCAACGUUAAUCGGGGCAGGGUGAGUCGACCCCUAAGGCGAGGCCGAAAGGCGUAGUCGAUGGGAAACAGGUUAAUAUUCCUGUACUUGGUGUUACUGCGAAGGGGGGACGGAGAAGGCUAUGUUAGCCGGGCGACGGUUGUCCCGGUUUAAGCAUGUAGGCUGGUUAUCCAGGCAAAUCCGGAUAAUCAAGGCUGAGGUGUGAUGACGAGGCACUACGGUGCUGAAGUAACAAAUGCCCUGCUUCCAGGAAAAGCCUCUAAGCAUCAGGUAACAUCAAAUCGUACCCCAAACCGACACAGGUGGUCAGGUAGAGAAUACCAAGGCGCUUGAGAGAACUCGGGUGAAGGAACUAGGCAAAAUGGUGCCGUAACUUCGGGAGAAGGCACGCUGGUGUGUAGGUGAAGUCCCUGCGGAUGGAGCUGAGACCAGUCGAAGAUACCAGCUGGCUGCAACUGUUUAUUAAAAACACAGCACUGUGCAAACACGAAAGUGGACGUAUACGGUGUGACGCCUGCCCGGUGCCGGAAGGUUAAUUGAUGGGGUUAUCCGUAAGGAGAAGCUCUUGAUCGAAGCCCCGGUAAACGGCGGCCGUAACUAUAACGGUCCUAAGGUAGCGAAAUUCCUUGUCGGGUAAGUUCCGACCUGCACGAAUGGCGUAAUGAUGGCCAGGCUGUCUCCACCCGAGACUCAGUGAAAUUGAACUCGCUGUGAAGAUGCAGUGUACCCGCGGCAAGACGGAAAGACCCCGUGAACCUUUACUAUAGCUUGACACUGAACAUUGAGCCUUGAUGUGUAGGAUAGGUGGGAGGCUUUGAAGCGUGGACGCCAGUCUGCGUGGAGCCAACCUUGAAAUACCACCCUUUAAUGUUUGAUGUUCUAACGUUGGCCCCUGACCGGGGUUGCGGACAGUGUCUGGUGGGUAGUUUGACUGGGGCGGUCUCCUCCCAAAGCGUAACGGAGGAGCACGAAGGUUAGCUAAUCCUGGUCGGACAUCAGGAGGUUAGUGCAAUGGCAUAAGCUAGCUUGACUGCGAGCGUGACGGCGCGAGCAGGUGCGAAAGCAGGUCAUAGUGAUCCGGUGGUUCUGAAUGGAAGGGCCAUCGCUCAACGGAUAAAAGGUACUCCGGGGAUAACAGGCUGAUACCGCCCAAGAGUUCAUAUCGACGGCGGUGUUUGGCACCUCGAUGUCGGCUCAUCACAUCCUGGGGCUGAAGUAGGUCCCAAGGGUAUGGCUGUUCGCCAUUUAAAGUGGUACGCGAGCUGGGUUUAGAACGUCGUGAGACAGUUCGGUCCCUAUCUGCCGUGGGCGCUGGAGAAUUGAGGGGGGCUGCUCCUAGUACGAGAGGACCGGAGUGGACGCAUCACUGGUGUUCGGGUUGUCAUGCCAAUGGCACUGCCCGGUAGCUAAAUGCGGAAGAGAUAAGUGCUGAAAGCAUCUAAGCACGAAACUUGCCCCGAGAUGAGUUCUCCCUGAGACUUUAAGUCUCCUGAAGGAACGUUGAAGACGACGACGUUGAUAGGCCGGGUGUGUUAAGCGCAGCGAUGCGUUGAGCUAACCGGUACUAAUGAACCGUGAGGCUUAACCUUACAACGCCGAAG